GACGAACGCUGGCGGCGUGCUUAACACAUGCAAGUCGAACGGUGAACCUCUUCGGAUGGGCUCCGUGGCUAACGGGUGAGUAACACGUUGGCAACCUGCUCACGGACCUGGGAUAACUCCACGAAAUAGGGGCUGAUAACGGAUGUUCACGGCUUCCCGUAUCGGAGGUGGUGGAAAGGGUUCGCGGCUGGGGGUGGGAACGCCGCGUGUGAGAUGGUUGGGUGGGUAGGGACCUACCAAAGCGACGACAGGCAGCCGGCCUGAGCGGGGAGCCGGCCCCACUGGGACGGGGACACGGCCCGGCCUCCAACGGGAGGCAGCAGUGGGGAGUAUAACGCAAUGGGCGGGAGCCUGACGCAGCGCAGCCGCGUGGGGGAUGACGGCCUUCGGGUUGUAAACCUCUUUCAGAAGGGACGAAGCGAAAGUGACGGUACCUGAAGAAGAAGCACCGGCCAACUACGUG
rnacentral:rRNA from 1 species